rnacentral:rRNA from 1 species
GACAGAGGGUGCAAACGUUGUUCGGAUUUACUGGGCGUAAAGCGUGUGUAGGCGGCUUGGCAAGUUGGAUGUGAAAUCCCCGCGGCUCAACCGUGGACGUGCAUCCAAAAACUGCUUCGCUAGAGUCUCGGAGAGGAAGGUGGAAUGCUUGGUGUAGAGGUGAAAUUCGUAGAUAUCAAGCAGAACACCUGCGGCGAAGGCGGCCUUCUGGACGAUGACUGACGCUGAGACACGAAAGCGUGGGGAGCAAACAGG